AGUUCAGUUCCCGGACCAGGGAUUGAACCCAGGGCCACAGCAGUGAAAGCCCAGAAUCCUAACCACUAGGCCACCACGGAACUCUGCCUGACGUGUUAUCUUGGUUGAGCCUCUCAACCAUCUUUAAGACUGGACUCUGAAGACAGAGGAACUGUGGCCACUUUUGCCCUGGAUACUUCCUACUCCUAGCCCAGUGCCUGGGAGAAGGCUCUGCACAUUCACAAAUGUUUAGGUGCACAGCAUUGUGUGCUGAGUAUGAUGCUACCGUCUCUGGGGAGACACAAGGAAGAGAAAGCAGUCCUAUCCCCCAGGACUCCUACCCACCAAGAGUCCACCUCUGGUCUCAUUGAGGAGACAGCAACAGCACACAUGAAAACACCAAGGGUACUUAGUUCAGGCCCUGGGCAUCUCUCCCUGGGAGGAAUGCAAACAACCCCCUAACAGACUUCCUCACUUCUAGUAUCUCCCCUUUGCUAAUUCAUCCCCAUGCAGCUGCCAGAUACACAAAGGCCAGCUCUGAUCAGAUCUCUUACUGGCUUUGAAGCCUUCAAUGCUCCUUCUCUCUUUCUGGUGAAAAUCUGAACUCAUUAGCAUGGCACCAAACCCUUUGCUGUCCAAUCCCAGCCUGCCCCGAGGGCUCCAGUCAUCAUCACUGCUCAUUGGCACCCAGACGCUGAUCAUUUGGAACUUCCUGCUCUCAUUCCCAUUCCAGCCCCAGUCUUCCAGCAUGCUUGAAAGCCUCUGCAACCCCCAUGAUUUGCUUGACCUGUUUAGGUACAAUCCCAUCACAUUUCAUUGACUUAUUUCAUCUCAACAUUUCAGCCUGAAGUGCCCUUAUCACCAGGAAUUCCAGAAUCUUCCUUUCCCCUCUCAUUCCCUGCUAUUCCACUGUACACAAUUGCCUAGCAACCUGGGCGCUACUCAGUCCAAAGAGAUUAGAGUGUGAGAAAAGUCAAUGUAUGAGAAAGAUCAGAGUCAUGCAAGAUAAACCAGGAUGGGUUGCCUGCAAACAGAGAACUUUCAUCAGGAUUUAGAAUGUACGAGAACUUCGGCAGGUAGAUGUGUUGGCAAUGGGGAAGGGAGGACCCCUGAAGUAUGGGAUCAGUAGCUAAGGGGUGGAAAAAGGCAGCGCCUCAGGCUCAGAAUGCAAUGACUUCACUUGAUAAAUUCCAGUCUGGUAAGGCUUUCAGAAACUGGGUGAGCUCAUUCAAUGCUGAUAUCGUUCCAAAUUGGUAUAGUCCUUGAGAGCCAUAAAAUAUGUUCAUGUCUUUGACAAGUAAUCCUGCCCAUGAAAAUUUAUGCUUUAAGGAAAUAAUUCACUGGAACACCAAAUGCUCUUUGAACAAUAGUGUUCAUAGAGACAUUCUAUAUAGUAGAGAACAUGUGGAAGAAAUCAACAGUUCAACAAUAGGAGCUGGUUAAAUAAAAUAGGAAAUGUCUAGAUAAUGAAGUGUUAGGAAGAUAUUAAAACUGAUAAUUAAAGUUUGUACUAUUCAAUUCUGAAUUAACAAGUCAGCAAAUAUG